GAGAAAGCUUGCUUUCUUGCUGACGAGCGGCGGACGGGUGAGUAAUGUAUGGGGAUCUGCCCGAUAGAGGGGGAUAACUACUGGAAACGGUGGCUAAUACCGCAUAAUGUCUACGGACCAAAGCAGGGGCUCUUCGGACCUUGCACUAUCGGAUGAACCCAUAUGGGAUUAGCUAGUAGGUGGGGUAAAGGCUCACCUAGGCGACGAUCUCUAGCUGGUCUGAGAGGAUGAUCAGCCACACUGGGACUGAGACACGGCCCAGACUCCUACGGGAGGCAGCAGUGGGGAAUAUUGCACAAUGGGCGCAAGCCUGAUGCAGCCAUGCCGCGUGUAUGAAGAAGGCCUUAGGGUUGUAAAGUACUUUCAGCGGGGAGGAAGGUGAUAAGGUUAAUACCCUUGUCAAUUGACGUACCCGCAGAAGAG
rnacentral:rRNA from 1 species